UCGCCUGUUUUUACAAAAACAUGUUCUUUUGAGAAUAAUUUAAGGUCUCGCCUGCCCACUGAUAAUUUUAAAGGCCGCAGUAUUUUGACUGUGCAAAGGUAGCAUAAUCAUUAGUUUUUUAAUUGAAAGCUGGUAUGAAAGGUUGGAUGAGAAAAGAGCUGUCUCUAUUUAAAUAUAUAAAAAUUUUAUUUUUAAGUUAAAAAGCUUAAAUUUUUUUAAAAGACGAGAAGACCCUGUAGAGUUUUAUAAAAGUUUAAUUUUAUUAUUAUUUUAGAAUUUUAAAAUAUAUUAUGUAAGUAUUUUAUUUAGUUGGGGUGAUUGAAAAAUUUAAUAAACUUUUUUUUUAUAAAAACAUUAAUUUAUGAAAAUUUGAUCCAUUAUUUUUGAUUAUAAGAUAAAAUUACCUUAGGGAUAACAGCGUAAUUAUUUUUUAGAGUUCAAAUCGAAAAAAUAGAUUGCGACCUCGAUGUUGGAUUAAAAUUAAUUCUUGGUGUAGAAGUUAAGAGUUUGGGUCUUUACGACCUUAAAUU
rnacentral:rRNA from 1 species